rnacentral:rRNA from 1 species
GAUGAACGCUGGCGGCGUGCUUAACACAUGCAAGUCGAACGGGAAACCUUUUAUUGAAGCUUCGGCAGAUUUAGCUGGUUUCUAGUGGCGGACGGGUGAGUAACGCGUGGGUAACCUGCCCUAUACAGGGGGAUAACAACCAGAAAUGGUUGCUAAUACCGCAUAAGCGCACAGGACCGCAUGGUCUGGUGUGAAAAACUCCGGUGGUAUAGGAUGGACCCGCGUUGGAUUAGCCAGUUGGCAGGGUAACGGCCUACCAAAGCGACGAUCCAUAGCCGGCCUGAGAGGGUGAACGGCCACAUUGGGACUGAGACACGGCCCAGACUCCUACGGGAGGCAGCAGUGGGGAAUAUUGCACAAUGGGGGAAACCCUGAUGCAGCGACGCCGCGUGAAGGAAGAAGUAUCUCGGUAUGUAAACUUCUAUCAGCAGGGAAGAU